rnacentral:ncRNA from 1 species
GCGAGGUGCUGGCGCCCGACCUCGUCCUCCGUGGUGUACCGGUUGUCACGCCAGUGGCAUCGCCGGGUAGCUAUAUACGGAAGAGAUAACCGCUGAAAGCAUCUAAGCGGGAAACUCGCCUCAAGAUG